AGUGAACGCUGGCGGUAGGCCUAACACAUGCAAGUCGAACGGCAGCACAGUAAGAGCUUGCUCUUACGGGUGGCGAGUGGCGGACGGGUGAGGAAUACAUCGGAAUCUACUUUUUCGUGGGGGAUAACGUAGGGAAACUUACGCUAAUACCGCAUACGACCUACGGGUGAAAGCAUGGGAUCUUCGGACCUUGCGCGAUUGAAUGAGCCGAUGUCGGAUUAGCUAGUUGGCGGGGUAAAGGCCCACCAAGGCGACGAUCCGUAGCUGGUCUGAGAGGAUGAUCAGCCACACUGGAACUGGGACACGGUCCAGACUCCUACGGGAGGCAGCAGUGGGGAAUAUUGGACAAUGGGCGAAAGCCUGAUCCAGCCAUACCGCGUGGGUGAAGAAGGCCUUCGGGUUGUAAAGCCCUUUUGUUGGGAAAGAAAAGCAGCAGGUUAAUACCCCGCUGUUCUGACGGUACCCAAAGAAUAAGCACCGGCUAACUUCGUG
rnacentral:rRNA from 1 species